rnacentral:rRNA from 1 species
UACGGGGGGGGCAAGCGUUGUUCGGAAUUACUGGGCGUAAAGGGCUCGUAGGCGGCCAACUAAGUCAGACGUGAAAUCCCUCGGCUUAACCGGGGAACUGCGUCUGAUACUGGAUGGCUUGAAUCCGGGAGAGGGAUGCGGAAGUCCAGGUGUAGCGGUGAAAUGCGUAGAUAUCUGGAGGAACACCGGUGGCGAAGGCGGCAUCCUGGACCGGCAUUGACGCUGAGGAGCGAAAGCCAGGGGAGCAAACGGG